GCUAUAGAGAGAGAGAGUUGCGACACGCUUUGAUCUCGCCGACAGGGUGGUCACGUGGUUCAUGUAAGCCUCAAUAGUUCCAAACACGCCGCGCAGUCAAUGUUAUUCUAUGGGACGACAGCAGAGAUUUCAAUAUUGAAUGGUAAAUAUGAAUGAAAAAAACACAUCCAAGUAUUUGUCUGACUGUUACGGCAUUAUUGCAUAUUUGUUAAUGUCAGUUUUACCUUUAGAGUGGUUAGAUACGUUUUUAAGUUUGAGGGAAAGCUUCACGUUCGUGUUAGCAUACUGGCUUAAAGGCACCCAGUGCAACUUUAUAUGUUUUACCAUGAUCAUUUUAAGAUGAGCCACACAAAGUAUCAAAUAUAUUAAAGAAUAACAACUCAUUACGCUUGGAUGAAUGAAAUCGUUUUUAUUUUUAUUAAACAAUUAGUGUGACAAGAACAAGUGAGUGUGAUUGUGUUAACAGAUUCAACAAUGGACACAGCAGGGAACACUAUAUAAUAUACUUAGGGCAAACCAUUAACAUAUAACGUUGCAAAUAUACUAUACUUUAUGCCAUUACAAUACUUAUAAUAGCCCUGAGCAAAUUCAAAAUUGGUUUAGAUCAAUGGUCAUACCAUGGUUGGCUGUGCAGCGUUUGGAUGCUCCAAUCGGUCCGAGAAGGGUUACCACAUGUAUGGCUUCCCCAAGGACCAAGAGCGCAGGAAGAAAUGGAUGGCAAUGGUCAGACGUCAAAACGUACAAGUGACAGGGGUCAGCAA